AGAUACCAGAGACAUGUUCCAGAAAUAUAGGUGUUUAGGUCAUUAGAAAUUCUCCCACAUGAUAAUAUGUUUGUAAUUUAUAGGCUUGUCAUCAUGAUAUAUUAAAGUAAAAGCCUUGCUUCGCUUUCAUUCAGCAGCACAUUUUAACCAGCCCUUUUUUUAUUUUGUAUGUAAACCACUAAUGGGCAAGCCACCAAUCCGAUGGUUUGUUUGUAUUAUUUCUUUGGCCAGGCAAUAGAUCCCCUCAUUCUUCACUGAUUCAGAAAGGAGGUCUGGAUGCUGCCAAGAACGGCCCAAAGCUAAUAAAUGACAACACUGCAGGCAGUGGCUUUAAACUACGACAGGCCUAUAUACUGUAUGGAAGAUGUUCCAUGCUGUGAUGAGAAUCCAAAGAUUGUGGCGUUUGUGGACAUGGGCCACUCAGCACUCCAAGUCUCUGUUUGUGCAUUCAACAAAGGCAAACUAAAAGACCAUCAGACAUUCGGUGAGCUUUUGAAAAGCACAGAGAACUGGCUGUAUGAUGAGGGAGCAGACCAAGAUAAGCAGACGUACAUUAACAAGCUGGCAGAAAUACAGUCGUUUGUCCUUUUUGAUGAACAAACACAUUUGAUCAUAGGGUAGCCUUUGUGUGCUGUAACAAAUUGAUUUUGUUUUCUCUCAGGACCUGUACACUGCAAUAGGUUUAACCCUCUGAGGACCAAAAACGAGUCUCUGUGCUUUGAUAGUUUUUUUUUUCUUCACAUAGCUGCAACAUAGACUUAAAAUACUCAGUCAUUAAUGGUCAUAUAAAUAAAAUCAAUACAUGAUUAUAAACUAUAGAGGGUCUUCCAAAACAUCCAGUUAAUCACAAAUCUAACUUUACCUUGUGUUGCUGUGCUGUGUGAGGAAUAAUACUGUGAUCCUGGAGAAGUUACCCGUUUCAUUUCGAGGAGCACACGGAUGCAGCUGAUGCACUCAACAACAAAACCAAGCCCUGGGUCGACAACAUUCAACCAGAGCGUCCAGAAGAUGUGACGAUGGAAUACACUGAUUUUGUUCAAAAUUAAUCAAAAAAACAACCAUGUCAGUAUUUAGCAGCUUAUGGUAUUGGAAUGUAAUUGGAAUUGCAUGUGGUUGCUGUUCAUUCAGUCAUGCAAACAGAGGCAAAGGGAGCUUUUUUGUGUCUUAUAUUUGAUGUUAAGAGGCACAUUUGAACCUUGUUUUUUUUAUUUUGAUAUGAUACUCAUGAUAACUUAGUUAUAAUCUUCAUGUACUUUAGCAUCUCUAGUUUGAAAUAUUUAAAGCUCCCACUGUUUCUCUCCACAGUUUCAGUCUGCUUUCUAAAAUUUUUGACUCGGACCAUUGGCUGAUUAUGAACGACAAAAUAAGAUGAUAUUGCUUUUUUGGAUUUAGAAGUGAAUAGAUGUAGAUGUAAUCGCAGUUCCUUUUGCUGUUCUCUAUUGUCGUUAACUGCUAUUACAUCUACCGGUACAUCUAUACAUCUCUUAAUCCAAAAAUAAAAUGAUAUUGCUUUUUUGGAUUAAGAAAUGAAUAGAUGUAGAUGUAAUAGCAACAGCAAAUGGAACUGAAACUGCCAUUGCCAAGCAGUGACUAAAAGAAAUCUCAUGCUGAAACUGGCACUAAAAUGAUAGCUUGCAACUUCAGAAAUUGAUGUACAAGGGCUGCUGCUAUACGCCUGAGUGUUUCGCUUUAUUUUCGCUGUGCAGUCAAUAGGAUAUGUCAUGUUAAAUUCGCAAUUUAUUUAUAGCGCAUACUGACAAACUGUGCAGGUGGAAAUGUA